AUGAUCUGAAAUUGCCAGGAGUGAUUGUGAAGCCUGAGUUGUCAAGGUGAAGCCUUUCUGAUCAUUCUGCAGUAGUCACUGGUGUUGAACAGUCACUUGGAUCACAGACACACAUGCAGCAAUUAAGCGAAUAUGCACAAUUCAUAAAAUACUAACCAGAGUGGAGGAGAAGGAAUAGCUGACGACAAAUGACCUAUGAUUUACUCCCAGAAGAUGAACAGUUUUGAGGUUUGACUAGAUAGCUGAACUAUCCAGCCAGUGAAAGGCAGACUAUAUACCAGUGGAGACACUGAGGCAUGGCUGCAUCCCAAGAGUGACAGUAGCUGACCCACAGAAAGGAUAAAGGAUAUACAAGUACUGCACAUUAUUUAAGAUCUGAUUUAGAUCAAGUAGCAGAAGCUUUUGGGUUUUGGAGCAGAAGAAUCAGGGACCUAGUCCUGGGUCCUCAGCGAAGGGCUGCCUCCUAAGACAGCAUAACCCGCACCAGAACAUGGAUCGUUGCUCAAACAGUACAGCAUGACAGACCUUCUGGAAAGUAUAUCAUAGCCAUGUACCAAAAUGGAUAUUGCUCCUUCAUAUCUUUCUCACCAAAGAUGUUGAGGCUUCAUGCUGUGAGAGCUCCCAGGAAGGAGACAAGCUGCUACGGGAGAUGGUUUGUGUGGCAUCGGGGUAUCCCGAGCUCGCUCUCUUCCCCCCCCACUCGUCCCACAAUCAGAUGUGGUCCCUUUGCUCUCCCACAUGUCUGGCUGAGAGCGUGGCAUGGAGGUGGGCUUGAAGGCAUGGAUUGUGCUCGCUUUAUGGAAUUGUUUUGUUAAUGACAUUCGUGGCUCACAUUUGCUUUUGAAUCCCUGACUGUUCCUAGAGCCUCAGGUAGGGAUGAUGGUCAGAAGUGCCUUUUACUUUCUGCAGUUCACUAGGAGCUUGAAGUUUUUCCACUCAGAUGUGGACCUGCCAAGGGUAUUCACACCUUUAUCACCUCUAGAGUAAAUUAUUGCAGCGGGUUUCAUAUGGGGUUCCCACUGAGAAAGCUAUAGCUAGUGCAGAAUGCAGCUGCACACAUAUUUCAUCUGUUCUUUAUGGCUUCCACUUUGCUUCUGGGGGCAAUUCAGGGUGGUGUUUUCAACCUGGUUAGUCCCAUGUAGUUUGAUUCUCUGCAGCUUGAGACCCAUCUCUCUCAAACAUCAUUUCAGUGAUUGAGCUCAGCUAGGGUGUUUCUGCAGACUGUCCAUCAGUAUGAGCGCAGCCGAGUAGAGGCAGAGCACUGCUGGUGGAAGACCCUCUAUUCUGGAACUUGGUUCCUCUAUCAGUCCCAAUGGUUAGAGCCAAAGUGGGUUGACUUGAGUGCAGUGUGAGAGCUAUCUUGUUCCUGAGCUGGAGCGGCUGGGAAAGUUCUGUGUCACGGUGGAAGCUUGUUUAAUUAGCAAUAGAUAAUUAGUGAUGUGAGAAUAUGGUUUUUAUUAUUCGUUCCCACAUGCUGAGGUGGUGUGAUGCGUACAUUUUACACACUUACAAAUGAAGAGACAAAUAGCGUGGCAGUAGAACCAGGAGUGUCCCUACAUCAGACUGCCAUGGCUGAGUCAACCUGUUUGAUUCCCCCCCUACUCUCCCUCUAACCAAUCCAUCAUCCUUUUAGCAAGGCUGAAGUCAUACAUUAUAUUUUUACUUUCAAAACCUUGGUCCUUGACUUUUGUGACGUGAUGUUUUCCUGGCACCCUGACUGCAGC